rnacentral:misc_RNA from 1 species
GAUCUGCCUCUGUUCUAAAACAAAGAAUCAAUCAAUAGAGGGAAUUAGAGAACAGAAAGGAGAACAAAAACAUCAUCUUCAUCAACCACUACCCUCCUCUUCUUCAUCUGUUUUCCAAAACCUCCUCUGUUUUUUCCUUUUUCUUCCUGUUUUCUGUUCCCACAUUUUUCUCCAUCUUCAUCAGCCCCCACUCUAUCUGCCAAUUCAAUCUUUCUGUAAUUUCCGCUAUUGGGUUCGUCAGAUCUCAAGCGUUUAGAUUUUUCGUAUUGCAUUAAUCGAAGAGGUGAUAUGUUUUGUUGCGGAGGUACAGAAGAGGAACUCGACGGUCCCCCUGCUAAUCAAUAUACAGCCCCACCUAAAGGAGGGAACACGUAUGCUGGUGGCGGCGAGAGAGGAGAGCCAAGGAGUGCUAAUACUGCCAAAAGUGGAGCUCCACAAAAGGUCUUACCCAUCGAAAUUCCAACUAUGUCAUUGGAUGAGUUAAACAGAUUAACCGAUAACUUUGGUACCAAGGCAUUGAUUGGAGAAGGUUCUUAUGGACGAGUUUUCUAUGCCAAGUUAAAUGAUGGUGCAGAGGCUGCAAUAAAGAUGCUAGAUACCAGCACUUCACAGGAACCAGAUUCUGAUUUUGCAGCACAGUUAUCAGUAGUUUCAAGGCUUAAGCAUGAUCACUUUGUGGAGUUAAUGGGAUAUUGUUUGGAGCAAAAUAAUAGAAUCUUGGUUUAUCAGUUUGCUACGAUGGGUUCUUUACACAACGUAUUACAUGGAAGGAAAGGUGUACAAGGGGCUGAACCAGGUCCUGUACUUAGCUGGAACCAAAGAGUUAAAAUCGCUUUUGGUGCAGCGAAAGGCCUCGAGUAUCUGCACGAAAAAGUUCAGCCUCCUGUAGUUCAUCGCGAUGUCAGAUCAAGCAAUGUCCUUCUUUUUGAUGAUUUCACAUCCAAAAUUGCCGAUUUCAACUUGUCAAGUGCCUCUUCUGAUACUGCAGCUCGGCUACAUUCAACUAGAGUCUUGGGAACAUUUGGUUACCACGCUCCAGAGUAUGCCAUGACAGGACAGAUAACUCAGAAAAGUGAUGUAUACAGUUUUGGAAUCAUUCUACUUGAGCUGAUAACU